rnacentral:rRNA from 1 species
GUGGGGAAUAUUGGACAAUGGGGGCAACCCUGAUCCAGCGACGCCGCGUGGGUGAAGAAGGCCUGCGGGUUGUAAAGCCCUUUCGGUGGGGAAGAAAAGUUCUGACUUAAUACGUCGGGACCUUGACGUAACCCACUAAAGAAGCACCGGCUAACUCUGUGCCAGCAGCCGCGGUAAUACAGAGGGUGCGAGCGUUAAUCGGAAUUACUGGGCGUAAAGCGCGCGUAGGCGGCUUUGCAAGUCGGGUGUGAAAUCCCCAGGCUUAACCUGGGAACUGCAUUCGAGACUGCAUAGCUAGAGUAUCGGAGAGGGAAGUGGAAUUUCAGGUGUAGCGGUGAAAUGCGUAGAUAUCUGAAGGAACAUCAGUGGCGAAAGCGACUUCCUGGACGAAUACUGACGCUCAUGUGCGAAAGCGUGGGGAGCAAACAGG